UACGUAGGGGGCAAGCGUUGUCCGGAAUCAUUGGGCGUAAAGCGCGUGUAGGCGGCUCGGUAAGUCUGCUCUGAAAGUCCAAGGCUCAACCUUGGGAUGCGGGUGGAUACUGCCGGGCUCGAGUCCGGAAGAGGCGAGUGGAAUUCCUGGUGUAGCGGUGAAAUGCGCAGAUAUCAGGAGGAACACCAAUGGCGAAGGCAGCUCGCUGGGACGUGACUGACGCUGAGGAGCGAAAGCGUGGGGAGCGAACAGG
rnacentral:rRNA from 1 species